GCGCUCUGUCCGCACCCCCCGCCGCCUGAGCCCCGUCUGGCCUGCCCCGCAGCCCCCCGGCCCACCCCAUGACGCGCGCGCCGGGCCUCUUGGCGCCCCUGCUGGGGCUGGGGCUGAGCCCGCCCGGGGCGGGGGCCGCGGACUGCGGGUCCCUCGGCGGCGCAGAGCGCCUGGCGUUCGCCCCGGCGGCCAAGGUCCAUUGGCUGGCCCCUCGCGUCCGCCCGCGGGGGGCCCUGAGCCCCCUGUACGGCAUGGUGCGCCGCUUCCUCUCCGUGGUGCAGCUCAACCCCUUCCCCGCCGAGCUGGUAAAGACCUUGCUGAAUGAGCCGGCCUCCGUGAAGGUGGAUGAGGUGGUGCGGUAUGAGGCUGGCUACGUGGUGUGUGCUGUGAUCGCCGGCCUCUACCUGCUGGUGGUGUCCAUCGCCGGGCUGUGUUUCUGUUGCUGCCGUUGCCGCCGGCGCUGCGGGGGCCGAGUGAAGACCGAGCACAAGGCCGUCGCCUGGGAGCGAGGCACCCUCGCGGCCUUCCUGCUGCUGACCACCCUCGUGCUACUGAUUGGUGUGGUCUGUGCCUUUGUCACCAACCAGCACAUGCAUGAGCAGGUGGGCCCCAGUGUUGAGGCCGUGCCUGAGAUUCUGCUCAGCCUCCGGGGCCUGGUCUCCAAUGUCCCCCAGGAGCUGCAGGCCGUGGCACAGCAGUUCUCCCUUCCUCAGAAGCGAGUCUUGGAGGAACUGGAUGGUGUCGGCAUGAGCAUUGGGAGCACCAUCCACACCCAGCUCAAGAGCACCGUGUAUGAAGCGCUGGCCUCAGUGAGCAGCCUGGGCCAGGCCCUGCAGGUCUCUGUGGAUCACCUGCAAGCCCUGAACACCACGUUGGUGGAGCUGCGGAAAGGACAGCAGGACCUGGAGCCGGCCGUCCGGGAGCACCGCGCGCGCCUCCUUGCCCUGCUGCAGGAGCCCGGCUGCCGGCGCUGCACCGAGGCCCAGAGCCGAGCCCGUGCCCUGGAGCUGGGAGCUGACUUCCACCAGGUAUCCACUGUGGACGACGUCCUGCAUCGGCUGAAGGGUGUCCCAGAGGCCACCUUCUCCAGCAUGGUCCAGGAGGAGAACAGCACCUUCAAUGCCUUCCCGCUCCUGGUGGCAUUGCAGACGGCCAACGUGGUCAAAGAGCUGAAGAAGCUGGUGGCCCAGAAGCCUGAAGGGCUGAACACACUGGCCGAAGAGUUCCCAGGCUGGGAGGCAGCCUCUCGCUGGAGCCGGGCGCUGAAGGAGGUGGAACAGAGUAGCCGCCCCUACCUGAAGGAGGUGCAGAGAUACGAGAAAUACAGGUGGAUUUUGGGCUGCAUAUUGUGCUCCGCAGUCCUGCUUGUGGUGGUCUGUAACCUGUUGGGCCUCAACCUGGGCAUCUGGGGACUGUCUGCCAGGGAGGACCCCAGCUGCUCGGAAGCCAAGGGCGAGGCUGGGGCCCGCUUCCUCCUGAUAGGUGUGGGCUUCAGCUUCUUCUUCGCCGCACCCCUCAUCCUCCUUGUAUUUGCCACCUUCCUGGUGGGCGGCAAUGUGCAGACUCUGGUGUGUCAGAGCUGGGAGAGCAAGGAGCUCUACAAGUUUGCAGACACCCCAGGGAACUUGCCCCCAUCCAUGAACUUGUCUCACCUUCUUGGCCUGAAGAAGAACAUCAGCAUCCUCCUGGCCUAUCAGCAAUGCAGGGAAGGGGCCGCGCUCUGGAGCAUCCUGCAGCUCAAUGGCUCCUAUGACCUGGAGAAGCACCUGAAUAUCAGCCAGUACACUGCCAAGCUGCAGCAGGAGUUGCAGAACCUCAAAGUAGACAUGAAGAAUCUGGACCUGCUGAGCCCAGCCGCCCACCGGGACCUGGAAGCCCUGCAGAGCAGUGGGCUUGAGAAAAUCCACUAUUCCGGCUUCCUUGUUCAGAUCCAGAAGCCCGUGGUGAACACCAGCAUGGAGAAGCUGGCCCAGGAGCUGGAAGAAUUGUCCCAGGCCCAAGUGAGAAGGGGCCAGAGACCCCACUGGGCAGGCCAGACUCAAGAGAGAGGCCCGGGAGGGCAGUUCUGUGCUGGGGCAGCAGCUGCAGGAGGAGGCCCAAGGGCUCAAAAACCUCUAUCAGGAGAAGAUCCUCCCCCAGCAGAGCCUUGUGGCCAAGCUCAACCUCUCUGUCAGGGCCCUGGCAUCCUCAGCCCCAAAUCUCCAGAUGGAGACCUCUGGUGUCUUGGACAAGGUCGCUUACCUAAAAGGAGAGCUGCCUACCUGGGCCACCAGUAUCUUGAGGAAUGAAAGUGAGUGUUUCCUGACCCGGGAGGUGGGUUACUUCUCCCAGUAUGUGGCCUGGGUAAAAGAGGAGGUGACUCAGCGCAUUGCCACCUGCCAACCUCUCUCCAGAGCCCUGGACAAUGGCCGUGUGGUCCUGUGUGACAUGAUGGCCAACCCCUGGAACGCCUUCUGGUUCUGCCUGGCAUGGUGCACCUUCUUCCUGAUCCCCAGCAUCAUCUUUGCUGUCAAGACCUCCAAAUACUUUCAUCCCAUUUGGAAACGCCUCAGUUCCACCAGCUCUGAGGAGACUCAGCUCUUCCACAUCCCCCGGGUCACCUCCCUGAAGUUGUAGGACCUCAGUGGGGGUAUUUGCUGGCUGCAAGGUGAUGCCUGGGGCUGCCUGCCUUCCUUCUCCUCUGAUUUGCCCUGGACCAGAGGACUUCUGUUGCCCUUGCUCAGAGCCCAGACUGGCAUCAGGCCGGGAUUGUCCUUCAACUCCAAUUACCUGACCCCAUUUUGCCUAUUUCUUCCCCCCCCUUGCUGCCCAUGAACCCCUUUUUUCAUUCUCAAAAGCACAUUUAACUUUUGUUGAGCUACAGGAGCCAAUAGGUUCUUCCAGAUAUCGAUCCCUUAUCCUCCCCACUGCAACAUAUUAGCACCAGGGGGAGCCUGUUCUCCAUCUGUUGGAACCCCUUCCUCAGCCCCCUGGGUGAGACAGAGGCCCUGCCCAACCCCAUUCUGCCACCCUCUGUCCCACCCCCUGCCACACCUGCCCCCACUCCUUACCAAGCUCCUGCCCCUUUACAUCGUCUGACCUGCCCGCCUGUCCAACUCCACUCUGCCCGAGCCCUUAUGUCCUCCCCGCCAGGGAAACCUUUUUCCCUGCUUUGUCCCCUUUCUACCUCAUCCCACUACCUUGCUGGCACCCGGGGACCCCUCCUGCCCAACUGAGCUAAUCAGGUAAAGCCACCAAGCAGGCCAGGGGACACUAGGGCUCUGCCUCAUGGCCCUCAAGCCCUCCACUGCCCAGACACCUGGACGCUCCACAGGCCUUGGCCUGGAUUUCUGGCCACCCUGUGGAGUGAGGGAGGCCUGUCUGAAGGCUGAGCCCCUUGCCUACACCCUGGGUUGGAAAUAGUGUUUUGUCCUGCAGCUCCUCUCUGAGCACUGUCUCCCUAGGAAGGGACCUGGGACACGGGCCAGAGUUGGGGGGGGUCACCCCCAGCUCCCCAGAAGGUAGCCUCUUUGACAACCCCCACCCAGCUUUCCCAGGAGAGACCUGGUGGCCACAAAUGGAUUUUGUACUUUGGCCAUUACUCUUUCCAUCCUAUGCAUGAGGCCUGGUCCAUCCUGUGUCUUCUCUGCAUGCUGGAUGCUGAGUCCCAGAAACAGGGAGAAGGAGAAGGAGAGAGAAGAGAUGGACAAAACCUCAGAUCCAUUAAAGUGUUGUCACUUCCUAAGCCUUGGCCUUGGAUGUCUGACACCAGCUCAGGCUAGGGCCCUCUAUGCAGUUGGUAUUUAAUGAGUUUUUUUGGAGAGGAAAAUCCAAGGCUUCCUCUGACUGUAGACAUCCAGGAUUACCCCAGCAAUCAGCAGAUGGGGAGUGGGACCCACUCUGGGAGCAGGCAGACCUGGCUGCACAUCCUGGCUUUAAUGCGUGGUAGCUAGGACACCUUGAACAUGUUCUGUGUGUUCCCUAGACCUCAGUGUCUCCAUUUCUAAAUUGGAGAAAAUAGUCAUGACCGCCUCCUAGGGCUAUGAAAAAUGUGACAUUGCAUGGAAGACCCUUGGCAGGAGCCUGGCACAAAACAAAUGCUCAGAUGCUGCCUUUUUUUUUUUUUUUUCUGUGACUGCUCUGGGCCAUGGGCCGAGCUGGGUCUUGGCAGGUACAAAGGAGGAGGGAGAUGGGUCCCUGUUCAAAGGUGUGAAGCCCUUUAAGAUAUUAGUCUGCUGAGUUUCAGGGGGUGUUUAUGUUGAAUUGCAUCUUACAAGCCAGCAACCGAUCUGCUACUAGAAAUUAGGAUGGUGGAUACACAACCUACUGUCACUGUUGCAAGCACACUCCAAGCAGGCAUCCUUGAAUGAGGUACAACUGCCUUUUUUUUUUCUUUUUUUUUGGCUUUUCCCAAAGCUUUUUGGGCUUGUUUCUCAUCUGUUGCCCUACACAGGGGAACUGUGGCACCCUGCAUGUUAAGAAUGAAAUUGAUGGGAUGAAAAUAGAGAAAACAAUUAAAAAAUAAUUUCCAGUUCUCUACCUUAUCUUUUUGAUAGGUGAGCAUACCGCACAUGGUUAUUUUAAAAAUUUAAUAACUUCCUAAUAUGGAACCUCUUGGAAUCUAUUUCUAGUGUCUGUUGUUUAUCUUGGUUUUUGUUGGUUUUGCCUUGUCUCCUCACAUACUUGGUGAUUUUUGAUUGAAUGCCACACAUUGCCUCUGAAAACCUGUAGAAAUAAUCUGAGGCAUAGGAUGAAGUUAUCUACCAUCUCGAGGAUUAUGUUUACAUCUGGUGGAUGGCUUGCGAUCUAGCAAACCAGGAUUGUUUUAAACUAGUUUCAGGACUGAGAUGAUUUGCAGUCCCUUGAGGUGCUGGUCUAUUUCCAGUUCAUUUGUAUCCUGGGGCUGACUCCCUCUAGGGUCCCAACCCAAAGCAUAAAAGAUUUGCCAGGCACCUCCUCCUCUUGGUGGGCCUCGUUUUUACCUCUACCAGCUCUCUGCUCAGCACUUCUGUAGGUCUUCGGGGAUCAGCGGACCUCCCAGGGAGAAAGUAGCCUCAAAUGUCAGGCACAUGUCUCUGGGUUUCCUUCUUUUCCCAGAUCUUGGCCCUGUGAUUCUUUACUCCCUGUUUACUCUCUGAUACCUCCAAUCAAACUUAAAAAUAUAUAUUUUGACUAGCUUUUAAGUUGUCCUUAGUUGGGAAUUUAGGCCAAAUUACCUAGUUCACCAUGAUCAGAAGUAGGAGUUCUACAAAAUUAACGGAUUCCCCCCACCACCACCCACCACCACCACCCUCCUGACUCGGGAAAGGCUUUCACUCACUGAAUCUAGGAUCCAGAGACCUUCACCCAG